rnacentral:rRNA from 1 species
UACGAAGGGUGCAAGCGUUACUCGGAAUUACUGGGCGUAAAGCGUGCGUAGGUGGUGAGUUAAGUCUGUCGUGAAAGCCCCGGGCUCAACCUGGGAAUGGCGAUGGAUACUGGCUCGCUAGAGUGCGGUAGAGGAGAGUGGAAUUCCCGGUGUAGCAGUGAAAUGCGUAGAGAUCGGGAGGAACAUCAGUUGCGAAGGCGGCUCUCUGGACCAGCACUGACGCUGAGGAGCGAAAGCCAGGGGAGCAAACGGG